CCCCCCUCAAGAUGAGAUUUCCCAUUACGCAAGUAAGUAAGAUCCCUCAAAGACGAUGAGGUAGAUAGGUUCGAGGUGGAAGUGUGGUGACACAUGGAGCUGACGAAUACUAAUCGAUCGAGGACUUAACCAAAA
rnacentral:rRNA from 1 species